GGUUGUGUCUUUUUGGGACAACUGAUUCAAGGUGAGCUUCAACUGAAAGACCCCUAGAGUGGGGAGACUCUCACUCAAGUCUCGGGAUAAGCCCCAAUAAUUCAAGAGAGACA
rnacentral:pre_miRNA from 11 species